GGGUCCUGGAAAGCCUGCUUAAGUUCCUCUGGAGGCAGUCCAAGAAUCUACCUUGCCAAUCAACUUCUCUGGAGGGUCUGCUGCACAGGACACCUGGCCACUUCAGAAGACAUUGACUUACUUCAAUACAGUGAAAUGAAUGAACCCAGGUUCUCAAAAGGCCAAUAGAAUGUUCGCUCUAAUUUCUUAACGGGGAAGAGAAAGAGGAUCAUCACUUGGCAGAUCAUCUGUGGGGCUCAGCCUGGAAGUUACUCCAGCACCUCACCCUCUACACAGUCAAACCUCUGUCUUUACAUCGGCUGUUUUUCCUUUUGGAUGAUUCUCUUAACAAGUUCCUGGACCCCACUGCUGUAGCAUUUCUUCACCAACCUUAGAAACAGCUUCUCUGGGCAGCCGAUGCAGACCGAAGACCAGCAGUUCUCCAGGAAUCCUCCAGGCUUUCAACACCAGACUGGCACUGCUGAGACAUCCAGCCUGGAGACUGAGCAACUCCUGAAUUCUCAGCCUCUCCAGUGUGACAGAGCCAGUGUUGGACUACGCACAUCCUGCAGGAUAUUCUAAUAAACCCACACAUCCGUAGUCUAUCAGUUCGGUUCCUUUAGAGAACCCUGACUAAAACACCAUUUAAACAAGAGGCAAACACACCACAUUCUCACUCUCUUUCUUCCCGGAAUGUGGCUGCAGCUCUUGGAGACACAGCAGCCCUUUGUAAGUAUAAUGGUGAUGAUGGCUUAAACUAGGUUUAGUAGGAAGGAAAAUGGGUCCCCAAAAAUCCGGCGAUCAACUACACCGGCUCUAAAGCACUUACUUAUUUCCUACUACAUGUGGA